rnacentral:rRNA from 1 species
AGAAUCAACGCUGGCGGCGUGCCUAACACAUGCAAGUCGAACGAGAAAGGGGAGCAAUCCCUGAGUAAAGUGGCGCACGGGUGAGUAACACGUGACUAACCUACCCUGGAGUGGGGGAUAACUGAGGGAAACCUUAGCUAAUACCGCAUAACACCUACGGGUCAAAGGAGCAAUUCGCUUUGGGAGGGGGUCGCGGCCGAUUAGUUAGUUGGCGGGGUAAUGGCCCACCAAGACGAUGAUCUGUAU